AUGAUAUUUAUUUUUUUUUAAUUUUUAAUUUACUCCUUUUAAUUCUUUCUUUCUAGAUCGUCAUUCCCAUUGCUCACCCUCUUCUCCCGAACAAGAUUUGGUAUUAUCGUCAUCUUCUUUCGUCCAUAUCUACCGUGGCAUCCUUGCAUUCAGAUCUUUUGAAGGUCAGACGUCAUCAUCGUGUUCCAGUUCAUUGAAGCUACCGAUGACGUAAUGUCAAGAUAUGGCUUAGCUGCUACUGUGAUAUCGAAUGAUCUGAAAAGAUGUGAACAUUUAACUAAGGUUUGUCAGGCGGGAAUUGUAUGGAUCAAUUGCUCUCAACCGUGCUUCACUCAAGUCCUAUGGGGAGGCAUUAAACGUAGUGGUCUUGGUCAUGAACUAGGAGGGUAUGCUCUUAUUUCCUAAAUAAUAAAUGUAAGUCACUGUGAAUGCCUUUUAUAAUUUCUGCAAGUGAUUGUGACAACGCUAUCUUGUUAUGAUGAAGAAAAUCCUCAUUACUCUGCACAUGUUUUGUUAAUGCUUUUAACAGACAUACUACAAAACUGACAAGACAAACAAGUGAAAAAUAUAUACUUGGAUGCAAACAGAAAGCAAGCAUACUUAUUUUCUCAAAUCUGUUACUUGUUGAGGACGAAUCUGAGUCUUCAAAUGCAAGUUAGGAAAGCAUAUUAUAAGUAAGGAGAACUGGUUUGUGGUCAACUUGGUGCUUUGUUGUGCUUUUUAAGUUGGUCAUGACAUCUUAUUUUAUCUGCUCUUCCUUGUGUGAUCUCAUUAGAGCAUAUAUGAGUUUAAGGAGAUUAGUGUCACUAAUUUGAGACAAAUGACAAUAAACUAGCACAAUAUCUAUCAAUUUACAGGUCAGGCAUAUUCCCUCUUGUGCUUCAUAUGCCAAGUUGCUCCUUUUUUUCUCCCUUGCAAACAUUAGAUUCUAGAGAAAGCACCUGGUUAUUGUACUGUAGAAUUCUAACUACAUAGGAGUAGUUGUGCAUGUUGUUGGAAAAGCACCGACUAAUUUAGGAAAAUCUAGAAUUAGAAUAAAUCAAGAAAAAUCUAGAAAUUUUCUCAGCUGAAGCAAUAUCACAAAGGCGGUGAAAGGAUGAUUCUAGAAUUAAUUAUUUUAAUCCUAUAAAGGCGGUGAAAGAGGAAAAUUGAGAAUGCUGUGGAGAAGCUCUCACGGACAUGGUUAAUGUAUAAAUAUGCGAGUGUGUGUAGCAGAGAGAAUGGAGAAAGAAGAAAGAAGAGUGUGUGAGAGUGAGGAAAGAAAGAGAAAAUAAGAAGUACGUGUGGGUAUAGCCUUGUAGAAUAUGAAUAGGUGGUGAGAAAAGUGAGAAAGAGUGUCAGCAAGAAAGAGAAAAAGAAAAAGAGUGAGGGAAAAUUACGAAAAAGAUAUAAGUAUGCGUAAAUUAUAGUUGAGUGAGUAAUAAAAAUUUAUUUUUAGUUUAGUCCCUAUCUUCCUCCAUCAUCAAAUCCCAACAUUUGAUAUUAAAAUUAGAGCUAUUGAGACGUAGUUGGGCUGCUCAAUAGUAGUUGGUAGAGUUUGAAUAUUUAGGCGGAAGACUUUGGGAGUCUAGAUUCGCUCGAGGAUCUGCUAGUACACAGUCUGGGACUAUAGAGUAGAUUGGUUAGGGACCAGAUCUGCUUGGUGUAAGUACAAGGCACUACUGAGGUCAUCAUGGCAAACAUAACGUCGAAUUCUUGUUUAAUGGAGAAGCUAAACCAUGAGAGUUAUCAAGUAUGGAGUACAAUCGUUGAGCUCUACCUCGCAGGUCAGAAUCUUUGGGAUCUCAUUGAUGGAGAUGACGCUACAUGCCCAACAAAUCCAAGUGAAUUGAAGAAGUGGCAGGUAAGGGCUAAGAAAGCUCUUUACAUAGUGGUUGUUACUGUUGAGCUAUAAUUCAUUAGAUAUGUCAAAUAUGAUGCGAAGUUGCAGUGGUUGGAGAAUGAGCUUGCCUCAAUUCGACAAAAUGAUAUGCGUAUAAGUGAGUAUUUUUCAAAAGUUAAAAUUAUUUGUAAUGAGAUUUCAAAGUUAGAUCCAAGGAACCCUAUCACUGACACAAGGAUGAGGAGAAUUAUUAUUAUGGGGUUAAACCUAAAAUAUCAUGGUCUAGUUACGGCAACAAGAGGUUGGUUGAAGGAACCAACUUUAGCUGAGUUGAAAAGUAUCCUAGCUAAUCAAGAAGCAUUGGAAACUGAAAUGUCCAAAGUUUUUUUGAAAGAUGAUGAAAAAGCUCUCUUUUGUAAAAAGAGACAUCAAUGAGAGGAUUCCAACUCAAAGAAGGAGGGAGAUGAUAAAAGGUGACAAAAUGACUGGCACAGAGGAUGUCGCAAUAGAAGCUCACAUCAAGGGGAUCUUGUGAAGAUUGAAACAAGCCCGAAGAGAGGAAAAACUAUCAAAAAAGAGGUCAAUGCUAUAAUUGAGGGAAUGUCGGCCACUUUGCUCGAGAUUGUUGGUGUAGAAUGGCCAAAGGAAAUGUUGUCACCUCCAACAAUAAGACAGCGAGGAAGAAUGGGAUUUUCAAGCUUCAAGUACCGUUGAAGAAGAGACAGCAAUAGAAGAUUUUAGUGAAGAAGAAAUAGAAAUGUCCUGCAUUGUGGACCAAGCAAAUGAAGACAAGGAAGAGAGCAUUAAGGUAAACAAGAAUGAAGAUGCAAAUAAGGACGCAGAAGAUAUAGAGAAACUCCAUUUGGAGAAAGUAAUUGAAUCAUGUUUUGGUGUUCAGAGAUCAAUCAAGAAAAAAUAUGAAGACAAAAUGAAGAACAUAGAUAGGAAGACCAAUCACCACCAUUUAUGGAGAUACAGAAGUCAAGUAUCAAGAAUGUUUCAAGGCACAAAAUGAAGACCAGUUCUUACGAGUCUCCUCAACAAGACAGAGUAGACUGCAACAAGUUCAAGAAACCGUUUAGGAGACUGAGAAAAACAAGAAGCAAUUUGGCUUGGCAAAGAUGUGCCAAAAUUAGUCGGCGAGGGGGAGUGUUGGAAAAUCACUGACUAAUUUAGAAAAAAUUUGGAGUUAGAAUAGAUCAAGAAAAAUCUAGAAAUUUUCUCAGCUGAAGCAAUAUCACAAAGGCGGUGGAAAGAUGAUUCUAAAAAUAAUUAUUUGAAUCCUCUAAAGGUGGUGAAAGAGGAAAAUCGAGAAUGCUAUGCAGAAGCUCUCACGGACAUGAUUAACGUAUAAGUAUGUGAGAGUGUGUGUCAUUGUGUAUAGCAGGGAGAAAGAAGAAAGAAGAGAGAAGAAAGAAGAGUGAGAGUGAGAAAAGAAAGAGAAAAUAAGAAGUGCGUGUGGGUGUAGCCUUGUAAAAUAUGAAUAGGUGGUGAGAAAAGUGAGAUAGAGUGUCAGCAAGAAAGAGAAAAAGAACCAAAGGGUUCCUGGCUCAGUGGUGAUUGGGGCUGAGCUUGGUAGGGCGGACUACGGUUCGAUCCCCCGCGGGGCCAAUUGGGAGGGGGCUGGAACCUAACCACCCAAAACUGUUCCCCCGAAUCUGGAUUAGUCGGCCCGAAGGGUCGGAUACCGGGUGAGUAAUUCAAAAAAAAAAAAGAAAGAGAAAAAGAGAAAGAGUGAGGGAAAAUUAUGAGAGAAGAUAUCAGUAUUUGUAUAAAUUAUAACUUGAGUGAGUAAUAAAAAAUUAUUUUCAAUUGAGUCCCUCUCUUCCUCCAUCAUCAAAUCCCAACACGUCACAGGUAAUUCAGACGAUAAGUAGUGUUUGCCCCUUGUGACAUACACAAGAUUUAGUUAAUGCAAAAUUUUAAUUGUCUGGUAAACACUAGUUAUAGUUUGAAUUCCCACCUAGAUUAUAUAUUUGUGACUCUGAAAAUUGGCUAAAGUUUAUUCAAAUACUACUGAAUUAUUAAUUAUUUAUUUUUUUGUGCCCUUUGAUGAAGAAUUAUAAUUAGUGGGGUUUGAAAGUUGGAAGUACUAAAUGUAUAUAAACAAUGUAUUGUGUGUAAUAAAUGUUGAAUUAUGGAAACAUGAAUCAACAAGAUCAAUGUGCGUACAUACAAAUAAGCUUUCAUUUGAUAUUGAUUUUGUUAAAGUCCAGAAACACAUGCACUGAUUCGAUCUUGGAUGGUAUUUAUAUCUCCUUUUUCCUACAUUAUUGUUCCUCUGCUUCAAUUUCUGUAGAUAUAUGCAACCUUCAAUUGUAAAUUAAAUCUUGAAGAUUAUCAGGUACCUAUUGGUCUCAGCUGAUAUUUGCAUUUAAGCCCAGUAAUAGUUUUGCUGAGCAUGGGAUGGUAGGAAUUAUCAAUAUUUUUCUUUUUCUUAUUCAACCAUUUUGACUUAUUUUUAAGAAUAUGAUUUGAGUUAUAUUUUUAUGUAAAUUUUACUUGAGUAGUUAUCCUCUGACAAAGGGAAAUCGUUAAGCUUCACGGCUCGUUAUUGAUGGAGUUUAGUGUUAUUAUAUUUGUAAUUUUUUAUAUUCUUAUAUGUAGCAUUUUUUUUCAUCCAAAUGCAUUUUUGAUGGGUUC